rnacentral:rRNA from 1 species
UACGUAGGGGACAAGCGUUAUCCGGAAUCAUUGGGCGUAAAGCGCGUGUAGGCGGUUCCGUAAGUCCGCUCUGAAAGCCCAGGGCUCAACCCUGGGAGGCGGGUGGAUACUACGGAACUGGAGUACGGAAGAGGAGAUUGGAAUUCCUGGUGUAGCGGUGAAAUGCGCAGAUAUCAGGAGGAACACCAACAGCGAAGGCAGAUCUCUGGGACGUUACUGACGCUGAGACGCGAAAGCGUGGGGAGCAAACAGG